rnacentral:tRNA from 1 species
GAAAGUAUGGCUCAGUGGUAGAGCACAUGCUUGGCAUGUAUGAAACCCUGAGUUCAAUCCCCAGCACCA